CGCUUCCUUCCACCGUUCCCACCUUUCUCAACAGCGCCCCGCCCUCCGGGGAGGAGGCGGCACGACCCGGCCUGCGUGGACGCCGCCCCUCGGCUCUGCGCCCGUGUCCCGGUCUGCGACACCGGGCGACCCCAGACCGCAGGGGGAUCGGGGAAUCCCGCACGGCGCGUGGGGAGCGCCCACGGUCCCCGAGGGGUCUCCUUCCCCCCGAGCCUCGGGAGCGACCCCGGGCCUGGGGGCCGCAUCGCCCCUCCGCCCGGACGGUGCCCAAGCUGAGACCGGCCUCCCUGCGCCGCCCCAGCCGGCCCGGGAACGGGGCGCACCCACCGUGUGAAGCCCCCGCCCAUGGGGAAACCCCGCGCCCCCGCCAGGGCGGACCGAGGGCCCGGGCGCUGCUGCCGCCGCCGCUGGUGCUGCUGCUCGCGGCCGCGCGGUCGGGACGCGCAGGUCUAAUUCCUCGGUGAAGAUAAAGAACCGCCGUCAGCGUUGUAGAAACAGGCAUUCCAAGCCAACAAGAGAGUGGGAGAAGAUGGCUUCCCAAGGUCAUGUGUCCCUCUCCUCAAGCCCUUCAGCGGCCUCCGCUGCUCACAGAAUACUUCUGAAUUCUGCUACCAGGUCCCACGUGGCCCGCGCCUGCCUGUCCCUCCAGCCUUACCCACACCCCUGCGGGUCUGCUGUCCUGGCCGUUUCCAGCUCCCAGAGCAAGCCGACCCGCUUCCCACCUCAGGGA
rnacentral:lncRNA from 1 species